rnacentral:rRNA from 1 species
UACGGGGGGGGCAAGCGUUGUUCGGAAUUACUGGGCGUAAAGGGCUCGUAGGCGGCCAACUAAGUCAGACGUGAAAUCCCUCGGCUCAACCGGGGAACUGCGUCUGAUACUGGAUGGCUCGAGUUUGGGAGAGGGAUGCGGAAUUCCAGGUGUAGCGGUGAAAUGCGUAGAUAUCUGGAGGAACGCCGGUGGCGAAGGCGGCAUCCUGGACCAACACUGACGCUGAGGAGCGAAAGCCAGGGGAGCAAACGGG